rnacentral:ncRNA from 1 species
UUUUUUCUUCGGGGUCGGGUGAAAUUCCCAAUCGGCGGUGAUGUAGUACAUAUACUAAUAAGCCCGCGAGCCAUAUAACUUCAUAAAUGAAGUUAAAGCCUCCGGCGGAUGCCUCAGAUUUUUAAAGGUAGUUUUUCGAGCAUGGUAGCUCGAUAAUAUCCGCUGGGCGCAAAUACGCCAAGGCGCAUUUGAUUGGCAGGAGCUGGUGUGAAUCCAGGGCCGACAGUUACAGUCUGGAUGGGAGAAGAGAAUG